rnacentral:piRNA from 1 species
UAGUCAUGUGACCUGUUGAAUUAGGGUGUG